rnacentral:rRNA from 1 species
AGCGAACGCUGGCGGCAGGCCUAACACAUGCAAGUCGAACGGCAGCACGGACUUCGGUCUGGUGGCGAGUGGCGAACGGGUGAGUAAUACAUCGGAACGUGCCCAGUUGUGGGGGAUAACUACUCGAAAGAGUAGCUAAUACCGCAUGAGAACUGAGGUUGAAAGCAGGGGAUCGUAAGACCUUGCGCAACUGGAGCGGCCGAUGGCAGAUUAGGUAGUUGGUGGGAUAAAAGCUUACCAAGCCGACGAUCUGUAGCUGGUCUGAGAGGACGACCAGCCACACUGGGACUGAGACACGGCCCAGACUCCUACGGGAGGCAGCAGUGGGGAAUUUUGGACAAUGGGCGAAAGCCUGAUCCAGCAAUGCCGCGUGCAGGAUGAAGGCCCUCGGGUUGUAAACUGCUUUUGUACGGAACGAAAAGCUUCGGGUUAAUACCCUGGAGUCAUGACGGUACCGUAAGAAUAAGCACCGGCUAACUACGUGCCAGCCGCCGCGGUAAAAC